GGGUGUUUCUGGAAGAAAUAAUAUCUCAGGCACUCAUUGAUGGAUGGAGGCGUAUGGGAUGAGGUCUGGGAGGUGAUGGUGGGAAGUUAGCUUGUGAAUUUUAGGAUCUCCUGGGAGGGGAAGGGCUGUUGUCAUGAAACAAGAACUUCAGAAGCCUGAGAAAAAAGAAAGGGGGACGGUCCAGUGAAAUUUUGGAUUGAGGAAGAAAAUAAACCCACAUUCUGCAAAACAAGAUGGUGGAUCCAGUUCAGAGAAAUGAGGAGACUAAAUUCCCAGAAUCACGAGAAAACCUUGUCAAAGGCUUCCCUGGGGACCCCCGGAGGGACGGGCCAACGCAGAACCUUCUGCAGCUUACUAGCGUGAGGCUGGGGCUACUGUACUUGGAGGUUGGAAGGGGCGGCCUGGAGCCCCCGUCAGGAAGAGACCCCAAACCUUCAGAGGUGGAGGGAGUUGAGUCUGUGGUUUGGCCUCAUGGAAACGAGGGAGUCUGAUCAAGAGAGCCCUGUUCACAGAAGAGCGGCUGAAAGCAAGAAGCAUCUGGAAAGGGCCAUUUAAUGCUUUAAACUCAUGCCAAGCUAAUUGAGUAAUGUGAGCAUAUGUUCUUGUAAAUUAUUUCAACUCUGUGUCGUUCUUCCCCUGAGACUGCCUUCCUCUGCAGUUCAAGAGCAGGCGUGUGUUUGAAGAAGCUCUGAGGGGGCAGUGUAUGUGUGUGUGUGUGUGUGUGGUGUGUGUGUGUGUCGUGUGUGUGUGUGAGGCGUGUAUGCCCACUCUUGCACACACGUGGCGUUUUGGUCCUAGUCUGUGUUCCCAAGUGCUGCGCCCUGACUGAGUCCCUGUUCCCAGUUGAUUCCUUUACGUGGCCGAUGUCAUAAUUCCCAUAUUGCAGAUGUAUACGCUGAGGUGCUUUGGCUGUCUGGUGCUUUUAAUUGCUAACGUCACGCUGCCGUACUGUGAAAAUGCUUGUGAAGGAGAGGAUUUUCUGGAGGAGUGAGUGUUUCUGAGCUCUUUGAUCAAGAGGACUCUUCUCUCCGCCUGGCCUUGAGCAGUGUCAUCAUUUGACUUCCGAGCCCCUUCUGGAAAGCCUGGACUGGACCCCCCGCCUCCCCGGUUCCUGACACUGGGGUGAACAUUGUGGCCGUCGUCAGAAUGAGGCCUCUUACUGGUCUUCACGCGGGACCUGCCCCCAUCCCUGGUUCCCGCCCCUUGCCUCUCCCGGACAGCGCCUGAGAUCUCAGCCAGCCGAUUUUGUUUCUGCAUGAAAGUGAGAGAAUCUAGGUCAGUUUAUCCAAGUAGAAAGUGUUAUUUUAUUGCAUGAACUCUGUGCACACUGCUGCCUCAGUGCUUUAUAGAAACAAAGUCCCUUGUGUCUGGGGCAUGUUCUCAGGCAGUUUUCAGCAGCCUCCAGGUAAUCACUUAGAUUUAAAAUCAACAAUGAAAACUCUUCUUUUUUUUAGAAAUGGUGGUUCCCAGUAACAAGUGUCUUUUUAACUGUUUUGUCAGACACUAAAUCAAUCCGGCUUUUGGGGUCAUGAAAGGACUUGACAUGAGAUGGCCUAUGCUCCUGUGCCAACAUCCAGAAAGACUGACCAAAGGGGAGCCCAGACCCCUUGCUGAUGCAGAAUUUCCCAGUCAUUCCUACCAUCUGAUCCAGGAAAGAUCCCAAAACAAAAAGAGAAAGGGAUCCUUUUGGUUGCUAAACUCCAUUUUGAGUUCCACUAUCUUCUCAUCAGGGUUUUGGAUGUCUUAUAUGUGUGUUUUUUUUUAAUGUCUUCACAGCAUAGUAAUGCUGUUUUGUAAUAAUGCUUUUCAGCACUUCAGCGUAGAGUUAAUUAAAGUGUGGUCUGCAGACCAGAGCUGAGCAGGGAACUGUAACCAGACCAGAAAGAUAAGUAUUAUAGGAAUGAGGAACAGACAUUUAGAAACUGAGCCAUUUGAUACUCCUAACAUCCGAGCAGCAUUUCAUUUUUCUAGUGACUCAUCAUUAUUGUAUUUUAUAAAAGUAUUCAUCUAUUACACAUUAGAACUGGACAACACAAACAAAUAAACAAGCCCAAUCCUGGUCCUUGCCCAAGGAUAGGUUGACAAAAACUGUUGUAAGAGCAUCCAACCUCUCAUUUGAUGCUGCCUCCAGUUUUGUGAAGGAGACAGGGAUUGUGUUUUAGAUCCUAUUUUACAGGUAAAGAAAUCCAGAGAAGUAAACACAGCUGGCCUGUCCCAGGUGUGCUGUCUCCAUUGAGUGCUUCUUUCCCCAAGCCGGCAGGUUCCCAAGAUACCACUCUGCCCAUCACAGACAAGUUAAAGCAAGCUCAUCGGCAAAUCCUCCUGCCUUAGGUUUGUUUAAAGAGAUAGCUCUGCAUACAGUUGACCUUGAAUGACCUAGGAGCAGAUAACUUUCGAUAACAUUGGAAUUCCCCUAUUUCAUAAAACCAUUUAGACCCCAACAGACUGGCCUGUGCCCUGUGUUCUCCAAAGCAAUUGAAAGAUGACCGCUGCACAGAAGCUUCAGGUUUUGGGAGGAGACCCUGGGGGCCCAUGCAGCCCUUGGCAUUGACCUGCACAGUGGACAGCCCAUGUGCCACGGGAGGAAGGCAGCAUGGCAGACAGCAUUAUGUUGAGGGGCCCAAGGACAGUCAGGCCCACCUCUGUUUCACUAAGUCUUACCCAUCAGCCCUAGGUCUACCUCCUCAGGAAAGUGAGAAUGAGUCCCAGUGUUUGGUCAUAGGCGCUAUGCCCCCUCUGAAUCUUCUUCCUUGUGUGGUACAGCUUCCAUACCCCUCCCCUAGGCUUACCAUCCUCCCCACCCCCACUCUCUGCAUUCUGCUUAGUCAGUGUCCACCCUGACAUGGGAGCAUCCCUCUAGAAUGACCCUGACAUUCCUAAGAUGGUCUGUGCAGAAUAUAGGAAAAUGACCACCUACCUCAGGCCACAUUUUGUAUGUCUUAUAAUGCCAUCAAAGACUAUAUUACUGAUUUUGCAGCCACAUCACAUCACCGUCCUGUGAUAGGUAACAAUACUAAAUCCCUUUAAUAUGAACUCCUUCAAUUGGCAAGUUGUCUUAUAUAUUAUCCCACACUAAUUUAUUCAUUGAUUGAUUCCUUAUUUCGCCCAUCAUCUAACCAAGCAUCCAACCAACCACAGUGGAAUUCUGUGAUACCUGCUUCAGGGUUUUCUUUUCUUUUCUUUUCUUUUUUUUUUUUCUUGCUUGUUAGGGCUGAAUCCGUGGCAUAUGGAGGUUCCCAGCUAGGAGCUGCCAGCCUUCACCACAGCAACACCAGAUCUGAGCCAAGUCUGUGACCUAUACCACAUCUCAUGGCAACCCCAGGUUCCCAACCCACUGAGCGAGGCCAGGGAUCAAACCCACAUCCUCAUGGAUAUUAGUCGGGUUUGUUACCACUGAGCUAAAACAGGAACUCCCUACUUUGGGAUUUUAAUCCUAUAAUUUAUGUUAAGAAGAAGUCAUGCUCAGUGGAAGGAAAGCCUUUAAUCAUCCCAUUUAAUUUGCUCUGUAGGCUCAGUGUCCGGGAACCAGCAGACUGGUCCAUACUUCAGAGUAAGGUUGGCCAGCUUACGGAAGUCCCAGCUUCCCGCUGGCCUGGAGAAUCUGAGUUUAUCAGUGAGCCCCCCAGAUAGUCACUUCAUUGGUUUCAGCUGCCUGCGUCAUUCUCUUUUCCUUUAAGGACUGCUGGUCAAGGAGGUCUCUUUGCUUUGACCUUUGUGACGUCUGUUUCCGUAACAUGCAGACUGCACAUCUGAUGGUACUCACCAUGCCAGCCUCUGAUGGUGUGGCUGCCCCAUCCCGGGACCAUUCCAGGCACUUUAUGUGGGUAGCCUUGAGGGGUUGGGGAUGGAAAAAGAGUGGGAGGGAAUCAUUAACAUUAUCGUUUUGCAUGUCAUAAUAAACACAUAUGACUUCCAUAAGUGCGAAAAGAAAUAAUAGAAAAGAUGAAAGAGAGAAGAAAGAAAUCACCCCUCCUCGCAGGAUGGCUGGAGGUCAGGUCCUAGUGGAACGCGCCUCUUUGGGGGCUGCCUGACUUACUCGUGACCCAGUCACUUCCUAACCCCUUGCAUCCUGGCUUUUACCCCAGCCACCCUAAAGAGGGAAGAAAAAGCACUUUUUCCAAGUUUAUUAAUGACCUGAUUCAGAGGUCAGCAAACCACAGCCUGUGGGCCAGAUCCAGCAGGUCACCUGGGUUUUACUGGCACAGCCAUGCCCGUUUGUUUCCACUCUUUUAUCUAUGGCUGCUUUCCCAUGGACCACAGAACUGAAUUGUUCUGACAGAGACUAGACGGCCCACAGAGCCUGAAAUAUUUAUUCUCUGGUUCUUUACAGAAAUCAGUCUGCUGACCCCUGCCCUGUGUUAAUAAAUCCAUAGAUCUAGCCCCCUGGGUCCUGGCUCCCUUUGGCACUCAGGACCACCCUUCGUGAGGACAUCCUCCCUCAACCUGUAACCGCAUCCUCGCUGUCCUCUCCUCAUCUCUCUGACCAUGCUUUUCCUGUCUUCUGCUGUCCCUGCUUCAACUGGAAACAUGCACAGAGGCACAGGUGUUGGUCGUUUGGCUCCCUACUGCUUCCCCAGGGCCUAGGACAGUGCCUGGCACCCAUGUGUGGUGGGUGCAUGAGCGAAUCAUGCUCUGUCUGGAGGCACGUUUGACCAGAGCUCACCUUGCAGAAAAGUCCUGUUUAGGCCUCCCAGGUGAACAGGUGGAUCCUCCAAGAGCUUAGCUUGGAGUCACGAAGAGUCUUCCUUACAGAGCCAAGUCACUGGCACUUCAAGGAAUUGCUUGCCAUUUCAUCGGCCCCAGUUUGAGCCCCCUCUUCUUACUUAUUAUGGUUGUGAUGCUUGAAGAUAGUGAUGCUUCUGUAAAUGUCUUUCUAUUCAUCUAACUAGGCCCAGUCUCCUCGACUACAUAGAGUGGCUGAGACCCAGUGAGGGUCACAAGAAGAGUAUGUAGAACAGCUGAGUACAUCACAAACUGGGCCCCUCUUUGUCCAGCACCAUAGUACCAGACCAGGACUCUGCAUGUACCUGGUGCAAGGUGGCUGGUUUUCCUCCGGUCUUUAUAUUGCUGAUUUAGCUCAUGUUUGUCAAAUGGAUUAUCAUCUGAAGAAAGAAGGGAGGGAGGAAAGGUUGGAAAAA
rnacentral:lncRNA from 9 species